rnacentral:piRNA from 1 species
UGGGCCAACUGGUAUAGAACACUUAUUUG